CCCACGCCUCCCCCGCCCCGUCAGACGGUCGCGCGCGCCUCCCACGGGAUGUGGAUCCCGGCGCCUGUCACUACAAGUUUGGGACCCGGGGCCCCAAGCUGAGCCUCUGCCAGUUUUCUUCCGAAGUUAGGUCAACGUCUUACUUGGCAGCUCUGCCACAGAUGCUGGAGAUACAAAAAGAAGCAAAGAAGAAGUGGUUGGCGUGGAGAUGAUAUUCCAGUGGAGGAAGACUUGGCUGUGGAGAUGGCACUUUCCAAAGACGAUCACAUAGACUGUUACCUCUUCCUCAUCAAAAGGAACAACUUUGACUGCUGUUACCGUUUAUUUUUUCAUACCAAAGCCUCUUCAUUCAUGUUUCUGAAACGUGACCACGAGAAGUGCCUGGUUGUGGACCUUUUUUCAUUUAGUCAAGUUAGCUCUGGAGGAUGCUUUCCAUUGGAAGAGGGGUGUCUUCAGGCACCUCUGUUAAUUAACUCAGGCCCUCGUUUCAAGUUUGAACAGACAACAUUUUGCGGAUGUUUCUGCAAAAUCAACAGCAAAAUUAAGAAGGGCCAAGAUGAACAAACAAGGGGAAAAAAAUCCAGAUAUAUUUCAGGGAACUGAAAGUGCUGACUGGUCCCCUCUCAGGCCAUGUGCCUACUGAAACCCCAAGUGAAUGCUGGUCAGAGAUCAUCCUUCUUUUCUCUCUCCCACUCCUGCCCUCCCUCCCCUGGAUGAUUUUUUGGUCUCUACCUCUCUUUUUGGACCUUGAGUUGGCCUCCCCCACCUCCCCCUUCAGCUGAUUACCUUGACUUACCCGAGAAUUAGAAGAUUUAGAUGAAAAUUCUCAGAAAUUCCCACCACCCAAACUACCCAGUUACCUGAACCAUUGCCUACACAUUCUGUCUUCCUUCCUAUUGUAUGUGGAGUAACUGUCCCUACUCUUAGGUAAGCCCAGCUCCUUCCCCUUGCUGUAUAGGUAACCUUGAAAAUCUUGUCUACACUUGUUGCCCCCAUUUCUUUAUCUCCCAUCCUCUCUCUAUCACAGUUUUGCCCCCAUCAUUCUACCUAAACAAAUCUUGUCUUCAAGACUCAGUCCCUGAGCUUCUGUGUUUAAUUUACACUCUUCAUGAACUUUUAUUUUUUUGGAGGCCAUCCGUAGACAAUAUACAAUAUUUACACCCCUAACUUCUCUCCUCUGAUCGCUAGAUGUGUGUAUUUAAAUGCCCAUCUAACAUCUCCUUUUGGAUGUCACAUAGACACCUCAUGCUUAGUAAGUCCAAAAUUGAGCUCCUGAUUCCCAUCCCCCCUCCAAAUGGCUCCUCCCAUAGUCUCCCUCCUUCCCCAGUAAAUGAUAAUUCAGAUCCUCUAGUAUUCCAAGGACACAAGAAUCCUCUUUUCCUCACAUGAUAGAUCUCAUACAUUCUAUAUUAUAUACCCAUUACCUAUCCAGAGUAUGACGUCUAAUAAUCACCUCCUCCUGGCUCUUGCUAUGUUUAUUUCACACCUGGGCUUGCUGGAAUAACCUCCUAACUAGAAUAUCUGGCUUUCUUGGUACUUUCCCAGUUUUUGGCUUUCAGUUUUUGCAUUGAAAGUCCUGUCUCAGGAAGUUCCCCAGCCCUGGGGUAAACCAGGAUAGUUUUUCACCCUGCUUCUACCUAGGCUGUUUCUCCCACGGCCUCCCCACAGUGUAUUCCCAGUGGAUCCAGGGUGAUCCUUUGGAAAGGCAAAGUUUAUCACGUGACGUCUCUGCUCAGAACCCUUCAGUGGCUCUUCAUACUAUUCAGAAAAGCUAUUGCUUUCAAUGGCCUAUUGUUGGCAGGGUCCACCGGCUUUUGUGAACAGAAAUGGAGAGUUGAUUUUGAGCAGGCUGAUGUUGAGGUACCUAUGAAAUGCUCAAUUAACAAGGUCCAGCACUGAUGGAAGGAUUGAGAGCAUAUUUUGUUGGUAAAACAAGAACAGAUGGUUAUAGAAAAAGUUGCAGAAAAGAAUUCUAGGAAAUUACAAAUAUUAGUUAAAUUGAAAAAAAAUCUAUAAUAGGACUGAGAGAGAAAAUUGCAGAAUCUCUCUCUGGGGAUACUCAUGAUAAAUAAAAUUUGUUUAUAUAUUAUUUAAAAUAUAAAAAAUAUAUAAAUAUGUAUUUGAAGCAGUUGUUCCAAACUCCCCAGAUCUUCUUUGUGUGUCUUUCCAAACCAAGGACAGUCCUCUGCAUAGCCAGCAUACAACCCUCCGGACCAGGAAAUCAGAAGUCAGCAUUGGUGUGACACUGAUAUCUGACCCAAAUGUUUCAGUCAAAUUUCACAAAUUAUCCCAACAAAGUCUCUUUUCUGUUUGGCCCGGGAUCACACUUUGCAUUUAAUAAUUGUGUCUCUUUAGUCUCCUUCAACCUGGAACAGAUGCUUAGUCUUUCCCUGUGUUCACAACUUUAUAGUUUGAAGGAGUACAAGCUUUUCAUUCUGUAGGCUAGAGCUCAGCCUGGUUUCAUCAGUGUUUCCUCAGGAUGGGACUCAGACCUGUGUCCUUGGGAGAAAUAUACAGAGAUGACGCUGUCCUGUCCUCACUGCAUGGCGUCAGAAGGCUCAGGACGCUGGCCGGUCAUACUGCUGGUAAUGUUAAUCUCGACCUCUCGGUCAGUUUGGCGUGUUCAGAUUUCUCCAUGUUAAGUCAUUAUUUUCCUCUUCAUAAUUAAUAAUUAUUUUGUAGAAAGGUGCUCUCAAACUAUGACAAUAUCCUGCAUUUCAUUAAAAACCAUUCAUUUGA